UACUACUAGCAACAGCCUAAAACUCAAAGGACUUGGCGGUGCUUUACAUCCCUCUAGAGGAGCCUGUUCCAUAAUCGAUAAACCCCGAUAAACCCCACCAUCCCUUGCUAAUUCAGCCUAUAUACCGCCAUCUUCAGCAAA
rnacentral:rRNA from 1 species